CACGUAGUUAGCCGGGGCUUCUUCUUAUGGUACCGUCAUUAUCUUCCCAUAUAAAAGAGCUUUACGACCCGAAGGCCUUCUUCGCUCACGCGGCGUCGCUGCAUCAGGGUUUCCCCCAUUGUGCAAUAUUCCCCACUGCUGCCUCCCGUAGGAGUUUGGACCGUUUCUCAGUUCCAAUGUGGCCGUUCACCCUCUCAGGCCGGCUACCCAUCGUUGCCUUGGUGGGCCGUUACCUUCACCAACUAGCUAAUGGGACGCGAGUCCAUCUUUUACCACCGGAGUUUUAACUUUCUUAAUCAUGUGAUUUGAUAGUUUCAUCAGGUUUUAAUCCCGGUUUCCCGAGGCUAUCCCUGUGUAAAAGGCAGGUUACUCACGUGUUACUCCACCCGUCCGCCGCUAAUCCGUCUUAUCUUCGCCCGUAAGGGUUCUGUUAAGUAUUUCAUCGCUCGGACUUGCAUGUGUUAAGCGCGCCGCCAGCGUUCUCC
rnacentral:rRNA from 1 species